GGAGGCAGAGGACAGAAGUAGGACUGGAGAUGGGGGUGCGCGGAGGCCCCAGAAGUCAAGCUAAGGACUGCUUCAAGCCGGGGCCAGAAGGGUGAAGAUAACACAGAUGUAAACGAAAGUAGCAUCCCUGUUUUCCAGGAGCUUGCCAGGGAGUCUCUUGUGCUUUUGAGGAGAAUCCAUGUUAUCCAGGUAGUUGGGGAAAUUGAAAAAAUUUAGAGAAACCCCUGGGAGGGAGGCAUCGUCCAGGCGUCUGCUGUACAGGAAGCGUCUAAGUUACACACUCGGGUGCUUUUCCUCCACCCAGACAAUGUUUUUCUUCUCCCAUAACAACAAGCCUACAGCUGGGGAAGGGGGGGUGGUGAUUUAAAAAAACCAUUCCAAGAGAUAAAUCUUGUAAUACUAACCGCUGAACAGCUGGCCCUUUAAAGCAUAGAACAGCCAUUUAGCCAUUAAUCCAUCCCUUUAAAAUGCAGAACCAUCCCACCCCCUAACACACACGCGCACACACACACACACACUGGCACGCACAUGCGCGCACACAAAGGGUAGUUCGAUUUCAUUUGGUGCAGCUACAGCAGCCGUUGCUCUUUGCACGUCCCCCAGUGCAGCCCUGGGUCCAGUUGAAAGAGUUUAAGCCAGCACCAGUAUCCAGGGGAGGGCAAGAGAAGCCACAAAUCCUAAAUGCCUUUUCACCAAAUUCCUCUCUGCAAGUACCCCCCCCCCCCGCCCCCGUGAUCCUGGGUCCUGAUGCAGCAGUACCUGGUGCCCUUCCCAGACCUCCUGCCGUCUCUGAGCGCCUUGCUUUCCUGGAAACAAUCUGCAAGGGCAGCUGUCACCACCAGGCCCCUCAGCCCACCAGACACUCACCAGAUCUGCCUCCCAGGCCCGAGUCUGCUGUUUCUCUUUCUUAUUCCCAAUGGUCAUCUUGAGUGAGCUAUACCACAUGUUGUCUUGAUGGUGCCUAGUUGCCAUAGGACUUUGAUGAGACCAUUUUCUUUGUCCCUCCCAGCUUGCCAUCUGAGUAGCCUCUUUGCAUCUGUGAUUUGUGACCUUCCUGAGAGAGAGAGAGAGAGAGAGAAGGGGAGAAUCAGAUGAGUAACUGUCUGGGAUGGGAUGAAUUGGUUAGCUGUCAGGUAUAAGAAAAUUAAGGCCAUUAGCUAUUUUCGAUUUUUUUUUCCUGUCGUGUCAAUAAGAUUAGCAAGCCAAAUGCUCAAGGAGCACAUUUAGGGGAGUUUUGAGUGCUCCAUGAAACCUGCAAACCUCUGCUGAGGGAGAUUGCCUGGAAUUCUCUCCCGCCUGCCCUUUCAGUGGGUAAUAAUAACGGGAGAAUUCGUGAGCAGACAGAUGCUGCGCGCACUGGUGCACAGCGCUCGGCAUUGUAUAAUAAUGAAUAUAUUCACAACGGCUGUUUCAAUGGUUGUUUCUUAAAAUGAUAAAGUUAAUUUUGCUGAGCCCUUCUUUAUUUUUUUAAACCUGAGCCUCAAAAAGAUGGAAGCUGAAAUCACCUCUUAUUCUUUUAUUCACAAUGGCUUCAUUAUGACAUUUGGAAAUACAAACAAAAAAAUUGUGUUCUGCAGGGAGCCUGGAAACACGCAAAGCCUGGUCUGUUCUCCCAGCAACUGGAUGUCCAGGGAUUGUCGCUUUGUUUUGAUCUUAGCUGGUGUGAAGACAGGUGAACAGGGUCCUUGGGUGGUGGGAUGUAAUUCUCAGUAUUUAUUCCAAAUCUAAGCAGGGUUUUACCCUUUUUACAGUGUGAUAUCCGUAAGAUGUUAUGUCAGUAAUAGUAGUCAGAGCAGCUAUAAUGGUACAUCGGGUGCCUUCGAUGUGCAUGUCAGUACCCUAGAUGCUGCUCAGUUAUUAAUUUAAAUCUUCCCCUAAACCCUGCAAGAUAGGUCUUAGGUGGAACCACAUGAAAUUACAGUUUCUGUGGAUCAAAAUAUCAAAUAUAGGCAAUAUCAUGUAAUUCAAACUAAUCUUAUUUCUCCAUUUUAUAAAGACACAAUCUCAGAGAUGCUAGGUAAUGAGCACAAGGUCAGCCAUCAAACAAAGGACAAAAGUGAGGUUUAU
ensembl:lncRNA